CACGUAGGUAAUCUUCCCUUGAGCGGGGGACAACAGUUCGAAAGGACUGCUAAUACCGCAUAAGUUUUAAGAGACUCCGGUCUUUUAAAGGAAAGCUAGGCCGCAAGGUCCGGCACUCGAGGAGGAGCCUGCGUCGCAUCAGCUAGUUGGUGGGGUAACGGCCUACCAAGGCGAAGACGCGUAGCUGGUCUGAGAGGAUGAUCAGCCACACUGGGACUGAGACACGGCCCAGACUCCUACGGGAGGCAGCAGUGGGGAAUAUUGGACAAUGGGCGCAAGCCUGAUCCAGCCACGCCGCGU
rnacentral:rRNA from 1 species